CAGGGGGUAGUUUAAUGAGAAUUUUGGCUUUGGGAGCCUAUGGUGAGGCUGGUGAUAGUCUCCCCCUUGA
rnacentral:tRNA from 1 species